rnacentral:rRNA from 1 species
UGCGUAGGCGGUUUGGUAAGUCAGAUGUGAAAUUCCUGGGCUCAACCGAGGAACUGCAUUUGAUACUGCCAGACUAGAGUACUGGAGAGGGAGACUGGAAUUCACGGUGUAGCAGUGAAAUGCGUAGAUAUCGUGAGGAAGGCCAGUGGCGAAGGCGAGUCUCUGGACAGUAACUGACGCUGAGGCACGAAGGCCAGGGGAGCAAACG